rnacentral:ncRNA from 2 species
AUAUAAAGCUAGGGGUGCCUUAAUUAGGCUGAGAGAAGCUAAACUUCAACCCUAUAACCUGACCUAGGUAAUACUAGCGUAGGGAAGCGAACUGAUAAUUUA